rnacentral:rRNA from 1 species
GAACGCUCGUAGCAAUACGGGAGUGGCAGACGGGUGAGUAACACGUGGGAACGUCCCCCUCGGUUCGGAAUAACUCAGGGAAACUUGAGCUAAUACCGGAUACGUCCGAGAGGAGAAAGAUUCAUCGCCGAGGGAUCGGCCCGCGUCUGAUUAGCUAGUUGGUGAGGUAACGGCUCACCAAGGCGACGAUCAGUAGCUGGUCUGAGAGGAUGACCAGCCACACUGGGACUGAGACACGGCCCAGACUCCUACGGGAGGCAGCAGUGGGGAAUCUUGGACAAUGGGCGCAAGCCUGAUCCAGCCAUGCCGCGUGAGUGAUGAAGGCCUUAGGGUUGUAAAGCUCUUUCGGCGGGGACGAUAAUGACGGUACCCGCAGAAGGAGCCCCGGCUAACUUCGUG